rnacentral:rRNA from 1 species
UCGAGGGGCAGCGGGGAGCGAAGCUUGCUUUGCUCCGCCGGCGACCGUCGCACGGGUGAGUAACGCGUAUGCAACCUGCCCGUUUCAGCGGGAUAACCCGGAGAAAUCCGGCCUAAUACCGCAUGUGGCCGAGGGGAGGCAUCUUCUUUCGGCCAAAGGAGGCGACUCCGGAGACGGAUGGGCAUGCGUGACAUUAGCUUGUUGGCGGGGUAACGGCCCACCAAGGCGACGAUGUCUAGGGGUUCUGAGAGGAAGGUCCCCCACACUGGUACUGAAACACGGACCAGACUCCUACGGGAGGCAGCAGUGAGGAAUAUUGGUCAAUGGGCGAGAGCCUGAACCAGCCAAGUCGCGUGAAGGAUGACGGCCCUACGGGUUGUAAACUUCUUUUGUCAGGGAGCAAUUGAGUCCACGUGUGGGCUUAGCGAGAGUACCUGAAGAAAAAGCAUCGGCUAACUCCGUGCCAGCAGCCGCGGUAAUACGGAGGAUGCGAGCGUUAUCCGGAUUUAUUGGGUUUAAAGGGUGCGUAGGCGGAAUAUCAAGUCAGCGGUAAAAAUUCGGGGCUCAACCCCGUCGUGCCGUUGAAACUGAUGUUCUUGAGUGGGCGAGAAGUAUGCGGAAUGCGUGGUGUAGCGGUGAAAUGCAUAGAUAUCACGCAGAACUCCGAUUGCGAAGGCAGCAUACCGGCGCCCAACUGACGCUGAAGCACGAAAGCGUGGGUAUCGAACAGGAUUAGAUACCCUGGUAGUCCACGCAGUAAACGAUGAAUGCUAAUUGUCCGGAGGGAUUGACCUCUG